rnacentral:rRNA from 1 species
UACAGAGGCCCCAAGCGUUACCCGGAAUCACUGGGCGUAAAGGGUGUCAAGGCGGCUAUGUUAGUCGUUCGUUAAAUCUGUGGGCUCAACCUACAGUCUGCGAGCGAAACGGCAUAGCUUGAGGUUUGGAGAGGUGCGUGGAACUCAUGGUGUAGGGGUGAAAUCCGUUGAUAUCAUGGGGAACACCAAAGGCGAAGGCAGCGCACUGGCCAAAAUCUGACGCUCACACACGAAAGCCAGGGGAGCGAACGGG